CCUACGGGAGGCAGCAGUGGGGAAUUUUGGACAAUGGGCGCAAGCCUGAUCCAGCAAUGCCGCGUGAGUGAAGAAGGCCUUCGGGUUGUAAAGCUCUUUUGUCAGGGAAGAAACGGUUGAGGCUAAUAUCCUCGGCUAAUGACGGUACCUGAAGAAUAAGCACCGGCUAACUACGUGCCAGCAGCCGCGGUAAUACGUAGGGUGCAAGCGUUAAUCGGAAUUACUGGGCGUAAAGCGUGCGCAGGCGGUUUUGUAAGUCUGUCGUGAAAGCCCCGGGGCUUAACCUGGGAAUUGCGAUGGAGACUGCAAGGCUUGAAUCUGGCAGAGGGGGGGUAGAAUUCCACGUGUAGCAGUGAAAUGCGUAGAGAUGUGGAGGAACACCGAUGGCGAAGGCAGCCCCCUGGGUCAAGAUUGACGCUCAUGCACGAAAGCGUGGGGAGCAAACAGGAUUAGAUACCCUGGUAGUCCACGCCCUAAACGAUGUCUACUAGUUGUCGGGUCUUAAUUGACUUGGUAACGCAGCUAACGCGUGAAGUAGACCGCCUGGGGAGUAACGGGUCGCAAGNUUAAAACUUCAAAUGAAUUGACGGCUUGAGACGNGCGAGGACGACGACGAGGGAGGAGG
rnacentral:rRNA from 1 species